rnacentral:hammerhead_ribozyme from 1 species
AUCCAGUUAACGAGUCCCAAACAGGAUGAAACGCACGUCCUGGAU